rnacentral:rRNA from 1 species
UACGGAGGGUGCGAGCGUUGUCCGGAAUUACUGGGCGUAAAGCGUGCGCAGGCGGUUUUGUAAGCCCGAUGUGAAAUCCCCGGGCUCAACCUGGGAAUGGCAUUUGGGACUGCAAGGCUGGAGUGCGGCAGAGGAGACUGGAAUUCCUGGUGUAGCAGUGAAAUGCGUAGAUAUCAGGAGGAAUACCGAUGGCGAAGGCAGGUCUCUGGGCUGACACUGACGCUCAUGCACGAAAGCGUGGGGAGCAAACAGG